AAGUCGUAACAAGGUUUCCGUAGGUGAACCUGCGGAAGGAUCAUUACAGGGAAGGUUUGGUGGUUGGUUGGGGGGGAAAGGUUAUAAUGACUGAACCCCCCUCUCCACAUUCGCGCUUGUCUUGUUUCACAGAGUAACAACUAUAAAAACAAUGAUAACUUUUAACAAUGGAUCUCUGGGCUCUU
rnacentral:misc_RNA from 1 species